AUGUGGAGUCCCCCAGCUAUGAACACCUUCGUGAGAUUCUCAAGUGAGGUGGCAGGAUGGAGAACAUGCUGGAAUGUGCAUUCAUGGUCUUGUGGGUUCAGCUUGGAGGUAAGUUGCCGGUUAAGAGGGCUGCGUGGAGAAGACCGAGUGGAGCAGAGUCCUCAGACCCUGAGAGCCCAGGAGGGGGGCAGUCUCAGCCUCAACUGCAGCCACACCGUCAGCGGUUUCAGAGGGCUACAGUGGUAUAGACAAGACCCCGGGAAGGGCCCUGAACUCCUCUUCCUUCUUUACUCAGCUGGGGAUGAAAAGCAGAAAGAAAGACUGAGAGCCACCUUGUUAAAGAAGGGAAGUUCUCUGCACAUCGAAACCCCCAAACCUGAAGACUCAGCCACUUACCUCUGCGCUGUGCAGACACAGUGCUCCCCAGGCACCUGCAGACCGUACCCAAACCCUGAGGCUGCGGCUCUAGAAUAAGGGCGUCUUUGCUGUUGUCCUUCCUCCUGGGCACCCAGAGCCUCUUCCCAAGUGGUCCUAUGGAGAACGAACUCUUGUGACAUAGCCAGACAGC